GAAGUCAACCGGAUGAUCGCGGGGACAAGUACCGAAAGGUCGUCUCUGAGGAAAGUCCGAGCUCCAUAGGGCAGGGUGCCGGGUAAUCCCCGGUGGGGGUAACCCCAAGGAAAGUGCAACAGAGAUAUACCGCCGCUGUAAGCGGUAAGGGUGGAAAGGCGAGGUAAGAGCUCACCGGCAGUCAGGUAACUGGCUGGCCAUGUAAACCCCACCUGGAGCAAGACCAAAUAGAGGAACAAUGGAGCGGCCCGCUCUGUUCCCGGGUUAGGUCGCUAGAGGCUGCCGGUAACGGCAGUCCCAGAUAGAUGAUCAUCACCUCGCAAGAGGUACAGAACUCGGCUUACAGGUUGACUUCCAAA
rnacentral:RNase_P_RNA from 1 species